UAAUGACUCUCGGCAACGGAUAUCUCGGCUCUCGCAUCGAUGAAGAACGUAGCGAAAUGCGAUACUUGGUGUGAAUUGCAGAAUCCCGUGAACCAUCGAGUUUUUGAACGCAAGUUGCGCCCCAAGCUGUUAGGCUGAGGGCACGUCUGCCUGGGUGUCACG
rnacentral:rRNA from 1 species